UGGGGAAUAUUGCACAAUGGGCGCAAGCCUGAUGCAGCCAUGCCGCAUGUAUGAAGAAGGCCUUCGGGUUGUAAAGUACUUUCAGUCGGGAGGAAGGUGGUAAGGUUAAUAACCUUAUCAAUUGACGUUACCGACAGAAGAAGCACCGGCUAACUCCGUGCCAGCAGCCGCGGUAAUACGGAGGGUGCAAGCGUUAAUCGGAAUUACUGGGCGUAAAGCGCACGCAGGCGGUUGAUUGAGUCAGAUGUGAAAUCCCCGGGCUUAACCCGGGAAUUGCAUCUAAUACUGGUCAGCUAGAGUCUUGUAGAGGGGGGUAGAAUUCCAUGUGUAGCGGUGAAAUGCGUAGAGAUGUGGAGGAAUACCGGUGGCGAAGGCGGCCCCCUGGACAAAGACUGACGCUAAGGUGCGAAAGCGUGGGGAGCAAACAGG
rnacentral:rRNA from 1 species